GCGGUGGAUGAUGUGGUUUAAUUCGAUGCAACGCGAAAACCUUACCCACCUUUGACAUGUACGGAACCCUUUAGAGAUAGAGGGGUGCUCGAAAGAGAGCCGUAACACAGGUGCUGCAUGGCUGUCGUCAGCUCGUGUCGUGAGAUGUUGGGUUAAGUCCCGCAACGAGCGCAACCCUUGUCAUUAGUUGCUACAUUCAGUUGGGGCACUCUAAUGAGACUGCCGGUGACAAGCCGGAGGAAGGUGGGGAUGACGUCAAGUCCUCAUGGCCCUUAUAGGUGGGGCUACACACGUCAUACAGUGGCUGGUACAAAGGGUUGCCAACCCGCGAGGGGGAGCCAAUCCCAUAAAGCCAGUCGUAGUCCGGAUCGUAGUCUGCAACUCGACUACGUGAAGUCGGAAUCGCUAGUAAUCGUGGAUCAGCAUGUCACGGUGAAUACGUUCCCGGGUCUU
rnacentral:rRNA from 1 species